AUACUGCCCUGAGCACACCUAAUCUCUUUUGAUUUCUGAAGCUAAACAGCUCCAAGCCUGGUUAGUAUUUAGUUGGGAGACCAGCUGGGAGUAUCGGGGA
rnacentral:rRNA from 1 species